UACGUAGGGGGCAAGCGUUGUUCGGAUUCAUUGGGCGUAAAGGGCGCGUAGGCGGCGGGGUCAGUCGGGUGUGAAAUCUUGGGGCUUAACCCCGAAACGGCACUCGAAACUGCCCGGCUGGAGGGCCGGAGAGGAGAUCGGAAUUCACGGUGUAGCAGUGAAAUGCGUAGAGAUCGUGAGGAAGACCCGUGGCGAAGGCGGAUCUCUGGACGGCUAACUGACGCUGAGGCGCGAAGGCCAGGGGAGCAAACGGG
rnacentral:rRNA from 1 species